UGGGCUUCAAUUUGAUAUCUUGACUGUUGCGUGGAUUAACACGGUUCGCCAGAUAAUCGCCUCGAAGUUGACGGUACAGAAGAGAGAGGAAAAGGCCGAGAGAGAGAUAAGAUGAGAGGAGGGAAGAGCAGAGACAAGGCAAUGAGAAAGGAGGAGGAUCAGGAUCACGUCAUGGAGGAGGAGAGGAGGAUGCUCGGCAGAUUGGAGAAGGAGGAGAAGA
rnacentral:lncRNA from 1 species